GAAGCCCUGUCUGUCAGUAGACAUCACUGCCACCACCACCUGCAUAUGAGUCAACACCACACAGGAAACCAGCCGGUCACCCAGAGCUGGAUGGGUGUAUUCUAACGCAAGCUCGGCCUGCCACUUCAUCUUGGGACCCAGUUGAAGCAACUUUUCCUGACAAGCCCGGAGGUUCGACCGGAGGUACUGCCAUGCGUCGC